UACGGGGGGGGCAAGCGUUGUUCGGAAUUACUGGGCGUAAAGGGUGCGUAGGCGGCUUUCUAAGUUGAAUGUGAAAACUCUGGGCUUAACCCAGAGCCUGCAUUCAAUACUGGCGGGCUAGAGUUCUGGAGGGGAUAGCGGAAUUCCUGGUGUAGCGGUGAAAUGCGUAGAUAUCAGGAGGAACACCGGUGGCGAAGGCGGCUAUCUGGACAGAGUCUGACGCUGAGGCGCGAAAGCUAGGGGAGCAAACAGG
rnacentral:rRNA from 1 species